ACAGCUGCAUCCUACUUCCUUACAACCUGUGGGAGGUGACCUCACCAGGAUACCCAGGAGGUGGGUUCUUAGAGCCAGAGGGGAACUGGGGACAAAUGGGUGCUGUGCUGCUGUGAACCCUGGGCAACAAUGGCUCUGGCACAUCACUGGGGUCUGGGCUCCCAUGGGACCACACAAUCAGAUGCUUGACCAUGUACUGUGGGCAGCAGCACACACUGCCGGGGGCAAUCAGGCACUGUGAGCUGCCCCUUACUGGGUGAAGAGAUGCAGCCCACUGGCAUCCUGGCCUCAGUUGUGUGCAGUGCAGGAGGGGAAGGACGGGCUUUCGGGACAACUGCGAAGGCAGCGUGAACCUGAACCUAAAAGCCCAGAAUGAAAUGUCGAUCAAUUAUUUCUGGCUAAGCUGAAACAACUCUGACAAAGGUAACUACAGUAAUGUCUCUGAAAUGCUUCUGUCUGCAAAUAAUGUGAUUCAAAACCAAAAGCAUUCUGUAGAAUUCUGCUUCUGGUCACAAACUGCACUUUCGGUGACAAACACAACCUCAGCCAUCUUCCCCGCACAAACCAGGAACUACUAGGAAGCCAACAAUAUGCAAUGUAUUAAUUAUUGUAACUGUCAUACUA